UACGUAGGGGGCAAGCGUCGUCCGGAUUUACUGGGCGUAAAGAGCGUGUAGGCGGCCAGGCAGGUCUGUUGUGAAAACUGGAGGCUUAACCUCCAGACGUCGACAGAAACCGCUUGGCUAGAGUCCGGAAGAGGAGAGUGGAAUUCCUGGUGUAGCGGUGAAAUGCGCAGAUAUCAGGAAGAACACCCGUGGCGAAGGCGGCUCUCUGGGACGGUACUGACGCUGAGACGCGAAAGCGUGGGGAGCGAACAGG
rnacentral:rRNA from 1 species